rnacentral:rRNA from 1 species
GACGAACGCUGGCGGCGUGCUUAACACAUGCAAGUCGAACGGAAAGGCCUGCUUUCCCUUGUGGAUUGCGGGUACUCGAGUGGCGAACGGGUGAGUAACACGUGAGUGAUCUGCCCCCAACUUGGGUAUAAGCCUGGGAAACUGGGUCUAAUUCCCGAUAGGACUGCAGGGUGGUGCCUGUGGUGGAAAACGAUUUUCUAGUGGUUGGGGAUGAGCUCGCGGCCUAUCAGCUUGUUGGUGGGGUAAUGGCCUACCAAGGCGGCGACGGGUAGCCGGCCUGGGGGGGUGGACGGCCACAUUGGGACUGGGAUAAGGCCCAGACUCCUACGGGAGGCAGCAGUGGGGAAUAUUGGACAAUGGGCGGAAGCCUGAUGCAGCGACGCCGCGUGGGGGAUGACGGCCUUCGGGUUGUAAACUCCUUUCGACCGCGAGGAAGCCACCUGGUUGGAGGGGUGGUGACGGUAGUGGUAGAAGAAGCACCGGCUAACUACGUG